ensembl:lncRNA
AUGACAUCUCAUUUUCUUGGGAUCUCUGGCCUUGUUCUUAUGUUUGUUUGUUUGUUUGUUUGUUUGUUUUUCCCCCAUCCUUUUUGGGCCUUGUUCACUAAAUCUAGUAACCAGGUUUGUUUUCUCUCACCUCAGACUACAAGCAGUCCUGCAACAGGAACACUGAUCUAUCUUCUUCCCUUCUGGACAACCAUGUUCCUCCACAUUUCCUCUGGACACUGCAAGUUUAACCUUCUGGGGAAACAUAGAAGGUUUCUUGGUGUCAGUGUAUGGUGUGUUUGGUUUUACCUGGGAGUGGUGAUUUUGGAUGUCAGUGAUUCUGGAUGUCAAUUUGGAACUCUCUAGAAACACUGUAAGUCAAUGUGGGGCUUAGUAGGAAUAUGUCAUAUUCAUCACCAAUCAAAUUAUGCAUGUAUUUGUCUUCCUCUAAAAUCAUAACCCCAACUUUCUGCAUGGCUUAUCUUGUCUAUUUGUGUUCUUGGCUUGUGCUGAAGGUUGUUUUACCCUGUUGAGUCAAGUAGUCAUGAAAAGAAUAUUAAUUUCACUCUGUGCUUUUGGAUGAAUCUAAGUGAUUUUGUGGGAGCAAAACACUUUUGUAAUUUGAAGAUAAUUUAGGAACACUUUAUUAUGCUGAAUAUCUUUUAAGUACUUUUCACAAAUUUUUAAUUUGUGAAAACACAUGAUAUUGGCCAUCUUAUAUUUUUAAUGUGUACAGUUUAGCAGUGCUAAGUAUAUUUACAUUGCUCUGCAACAAAACUCCAAAACUUUCUCUUUUUUUUUCUUUUUUUUUUUUUUUUUGAGGCAGAGUCUCACUCUAUCACCCGGGCUAGAGUGCAGUGGCUCAAUCUUGGCUCACUGCAAACUCCGCCUCCCGGGUUCAAGUGAUUCACCUGCCUAAGCCUCGAGUAGCUGGGAUUACAGGCACCCACCACCAUGCCUGGCUAAUUUUUGUAUUUUUAGUAGAGAUGGGGUUUCACUAUGUUGGCCAGGCUGGUCUCAACUUCCUGACCUCAUGAUCCACCUGCCACAGCCUCCCAAUGUGCUGGGAUUACAGGUGUGAGCCACUGUGCCCAGCCAAGAAUUUUCACAUCUUACAAAGCUGAAACUCAAUACCCCUGAAGCAUUAACUGCCCCUUUUACUCUCUCUCCACCUUAUGAAAUUACAUCAUUCUAAUUUCUGUUUCUGUAAGUUUGACUACUUGAGAUAGCUCAUAUAAAUGGAAUUAUAUGAUCUUUGUCACUUUGUUUCUGGCAUGUUUCACCGAAUGUCCUAAAGUUUUAUACUUUUUGUAGCACCUGCAUAAUUUGCUUUCAGAAGGUAGAGCCAUAUUCCAUUGCAUGCAUAUGCCACAUCUUUAUCGAUUUAUCUAUCAAGAAACUUUUAAGUAGUUUUCAUCUUUUGCGGGGGGGAAUGUUAUUAUACACAUGUGUGUGCAAAUGUCCAUUCCAGCUCCUGCUUUGCAUACAUAGAUAGAUACCCAGAAAUGGAAUUGCUGGAUUAUAGGAUAAUUUCAUUUUUCUGAGAUAACAUCUUAACAUUGUCACCCUGGCUAGAGUGCUGUGGUGUAAUAAUGGUCACUGCAGCCUUAACAUCCUGGGCUGAAACAAUCCUCACACCUCAGCCAUCCCAGUAGCUGAAACUACAGAAACAUGCCACCACACCUGGUUAAUUUUUGUAGAGAUGGGGUCUCACUAUGUUGCUCAGGCUGGACUCAAACUCCUGAGCUCAAGUAAUUAUCCCACCUCAACCUCCCAAAGUGUUGGAAUUACAGGCAGGAGCCGCCACACCAAGAUGCAUUUUAUUUUUAAUAUUUUGAGAAAUCUCCAUCCAAAUUUUCUUGGGGGCUGCAUUAUUCUCUCCCACCACAGUGCAUGGGGGUUCUAAAUGCUCUGCAUCCUUGACAACAUUGAUUCCUUUUGUGCGUUGAAUAGUGGCCAUGCUAAUGGGUGAGAGGUAAGAGCUCACUGGGAUUGUGCUUUGCAUUUCUCUCAAGUAAUUUUGAGGCCAAGCACAGUGGCUCACACCUGUAAUCCCAGCACUUUGGGAGGCUGAGGUGGAUGGAUCACAAGGUCAGGAGAUCAAGAUCUUCCUGGUUAACACGGUGAAACCCCGUCUCUACUAAAAAUACAAAAAAUUAGUCAGGCGUGGUGGUGUUGGAACCGAACUGUCGAUUCCCUCCUGGGCAGGGGUCGCCGCGAAGGAUCACCCGACACGAGAUUCACAGCAGAGAGUUAUUUAUUACUAGCCAGCUAGGGUCCUGGAGCUCUAAGUUGGCCCUGGGGACUCGACUGCUUGUUACAGGCUGUUUAUAUAGGCAAACACAAGUUCAAACACAUCUUAUGGCUAAAUUCAAACAAAGCUUAAGGCGAAAAUGAGUGGGUCUAGCUAUGGCCUGAGCAAGUGUCUGUUCUAAUUGGUUAGAGCAGGACCUUAUGAGUUCUUUCCUGGAGUUGUUAAUUCCAGAACUUCGAGGCAGGGUGGGACCCCGGAAUUGGUGCAGGGUGGGACCCUAUGAGGUUGUUUCCCCGGAAUUGCAGGGACCCCACGAGGUUGUUCUCGAAUUGGCAGGUGGGACCCUAUCGAGGCAGGGUGGGACCUGAGGCCUAGUUUCUAAGUUUUAUGAGGCCUAGUUUCAUUCUCCUCUUUUAGGUCAGAGGCUCACCUUGAGCCUCUCUUCUUCAGUCCUGAGGGUCUGGUAUUGUUGGGUCAGAACCAUAGCAUGUACUAUAGUUUAAUCUAUUUUAAUAAGGGCUUAGGUAAGCGUUAAGUAUGCAACGCCCGAAGUCGAUGAGCGUGGAGCAGGAUGAGGGUCCUAAGAUGGUGGAGAUUACAGCAAAACCAAGGGAUGGCCAAACAGCCAAACCAACCCUGCUGAGACCUCUUCUUUUCUUUCUUUUGUCUAAUCUUUCCCUUAGUUUUGCCAUAGACCCUUUAACUUACUCCUGAAUGAUCUGCAUAAAAACAACAUUGUGCUCUUCUUCAGGGCUGCACAGAGCCCGCCUCUUUCAGAAAAAGACAAUUUCUAGUCCUCACGGUUUUGGUAACACAACUUCAGACAAAGAAGUCAAGG